AACAUCGCGCACCUGCGGGAACCUGCGGAAGGAUCAUUACACAAUACAAUAUGAAGGCUGUCCGCAGCUGGAGUAUUUUAUUACCCUUGUCUUUUGCGCACUUGUUGUUUCCUGGGCGGGUUCGCUCGCCACCAGGACCACCAAAUAAACCUUUUUUAUGCAGUUGCAAUCAGCGUCAGUACAAACAAUGUAAAUCAUUUACAACUUUCAGCAACGGAUCU
rnacentral:misc_RNA from 1 species